UACGUAGGGUGCAAGCGUUGUCCGGAAUUAUUGGGCGUAAAGAGCUCGUAGGCGGUUCGUCGCGUCGGCUGUGAAAACCCGGAGCUCAACUCCGGGCCUGCAGUCGAUACGGGCAGACUAGAGUGUGGUAGGGGAGAUCGGAAUUCCUGGUGUAGCGGUGAAAUGCGCAGAUAUCAGGAGGAACACCGGUGGCGAAGGCGGAUCUCUGGGCCAUUACUGACGCUGAGGAGCGAAAGCGUGGGGAGCGAACAGG
rnacentral:rRNA from 1 species